GAGGGUAUAGCUCAGUGGUAAAUCAUGUGCUUAGCAUGCGCAAGGUCCUGGGUUCAAUCCCCAGUACCUCCA
rnacentral:tRNA from 1 species